GAUGAACGCUGGCGGCGUGCUUAACACAUGCAAGUCGAACGAGAAUCAGUUGAUCGAGGAUUCGUCCAAGUGAAGCUGAGGAAAGUGGCGGACGGGUGAGUAACGCGUGAGGAACCUGCCUCGGAGUGGGGAAUAACAGUUAGAAAUGACUGCUAAUACCGCAUAAUGCAGCGAGAUCGCAUGAUCUUGCUGCCAAAGAUUUAUCGCUCUGAGAUGGCCUCGCGUCUGAUUAGCUAGUUGGCGGGGUAACGGCCCACCAAGGCGACGAUCAGUAGCCGGUCUGAGAGGAUGAACGGCCACACUGGAACUGAGACACGGUCCAGACUCCUACGGGAGGCAGCAGUGGGGAAUCUUCCGCAAUGGGCGAAAGCCUGACGGAGCAACGCCGCGUGAGUGAUGACGGCCUUCGGGUUGUAAAGCUCUGUGAUCGGGGACGAAUGAGCAGCGUGCCAAUACCACGCUGAAAUGACGGUACCCGAAAAGCAAGCCACGGCUAACUACGUGCCAGCAGCCGCGGUAAUACGUAGGUGGCAAGCGUUGUCCGGAAUUAUUGGGCGUAAAGCGCGCGCAGGCGGUUUGUUAAGUCCAUCUUAAAAGUGCGGGGCUUAACCCCGUGAGGGGAUGGAAACUGACAGACUGGAGUAUCGGAGAGGAAAGCGGAAUUCCUAGUGUAGCGGUGAAAUGCGUAGAGAUUAGGAAGAACACCGGUGGCGAAGGCGGCUUUCUGGACGACAACUGACGCUGAGGCGCGAAAGCGUGGGGAGCAAACAGGAUUAGAUACCCUGGUAGUCC
rnacentral:rRNA from 1 species